rnacentral:rRNA from 1 species
UACGAAGGGGGCUAGCGUUGUUCGGAAUUACUGGGCGUAAAGCGUAUGCAGGCGGAUCGUUAAGUCGGGGGUGAAAUCCCGAGGCUCAACCUCGGAACUGCCUUCGAUACUGGCGAUCUUGAGUCCGGGAGAGGUGAGUGGAACUCCGAGUGUAGAGGUGAAAUCGUAGAUAUCUGGAGGAACACCGGUGGCGAAGGCGGCAUCCUGGACCAACACUGACGCUGAG